CUUUAAUAGGGCCAAAAGUCUGGAAGGAGCACUGUGAGCGCUGGCAAUUCCAUCCCGAGAAUUUCCAAGUGUGUCUCCAUGGCCAUAAAUCGGAUGGCACCCCAGAGGCAUUUGUAAGGGCAGUGGGCCAUGUCUG